rnacentral:piRNA from 1 species
UGUCCACUCGACAGUCAUGCCCUGAGC